ACAUGACAGGACACGGGCGGGACGUGUCAGAACGUCGCAGGACAUGGUAGGGCGUGGCCAUGGAAAGACUCAAGAUGUGUCAGGACGCGUCAAGAAAUGGCCAUGGCACGCGCCAGGACCCGUCUGGGCAUGUCCAUGACACGAGUCAGGACAUCGCAGGACAAGGCAGGGCGUGGCCAUGGCACGAGUCAGGACAUGCCAGGGCGUCGCCAUGGCAAGAGUUAGGACGUUGCAGGACGCGUCAAGACUUGGCCAUGGCACGUGUCAGGACGCAUUAGGACAUGGCAAUGGCACGUGUCAGGACAGGGCAGGGCGUGGCCAUGGCACGAGUCAGGACGUCGCAGGACAUGUCAAGACAUAGCCAUGGUAGAUAUCAGGACGCAUCAAGACAGGGCCAUGGCACGUGUCAGGACGCGUCAGGACAUGGAAGGGUGUGGCCAUGGAACAAGUAGGGACGUUGCAGUACAUGGCAGUGCCCCUAAUUACUAUCCAACGAAACCACAGCCAAGGCAACGGGCUUGGCAGAAUCAGCGGGCAAAGAAGACCCUGUUGAGCUUGACUCUAGUCUGACUUUGUGAAAUGACUUGAGAGGUGUAGUAUAAGUGUGAGACGAAAGGUGAAUGUUAAAUACUUAUUCCGUGAAUCGGAAACAGGGCACUAUGUCACGGGAUGAGUAUUUUGCGGACAUGUCAGGACGCGUCAAGACAUGCCCAUGGCAAGUGUCAGGACGUGUCAGGACAUGGCAGGGCGUGUCCAUGGCACGAGUCAGGACAUCAUAGAAUAUGGCAGUGCGUGGCCAUGGCACGAGUCGAGACAUCGCAAAGCAUGGCAGGGUGUGGCCAUGGCAUGAGUCAGGACAUUUCGGGACGCAUCACGACAUGGCUAUGGCACAUAUCAGGACACGUCAGGACAUGGCAGUGGCACGUGUCAGGACAUAGUAGGGCGUGGCCAUGGUAUCACUCAUGACGUCUCAGGACAUGGCAUGAGAUGGGACGUCGAAGGACGCGUCAGGACAUGGCCAUGGCACGUGUCAGGACGCGUCAAGACAUGGUAGUGGCACGUGUCAAGAUGCGUCAGGUUAUAGCAGGGCGUGGCCAUGGCAUGACUCAUGACAUUGCAGGACAUGGCAGGGCGUGUCCAUGGCACGAGUUGGGACGCCGCAAGACGCGUGAGGACAUGGCCAUGGUACGCGGCAGGACGCGUCAGGACAUGCCCAUGCCCAUGGCACGUGUCAGGAUGCGUCCUGGCACGAGUCGGGACGUCACAGGACAUGGAAAGUCGUGGCCAUGGCAUGAGUUGGGACGUCGUAGGAUGCGUCAAGACAUGGCCAUGGUACGUGUCAGGACGCGUCAGGACAUGGCCAUGGAACGUGUGAGAAUGCGUCAGGACAUGGCAGAGCGUGGGAAUGGCACGAGUCGGGACGUCACAGGACGUAGCAAGGGGUGUCCAUGGCACGAGUCAGGACGCCGCAGGACGCGUCAGGACAUGGCCAUGGCACGUGUCAGGACGCAUCAUGACAUGGCCAUGGCACGUGUCAGGACGCGUCAGGACAUGGCAGGGUAUGGCCAUGGCACGAGUCGGGAGGUCACAAGACAUGGCAGGGUGUAGCCAUGGCACUAGUCAGGACGUUGCAGGACGCGUCAGGACAGGGCCAUGGCACAUGCCAGGGCAUGCCAGAUACGCGAUAGGGCACGAGUCAGGACGUUGCAAAACAUGGCAGGAUAUGGCCAUGGUACGUGUCAGGACGUGUCAAAACAUGGCCAUGGCACGACGAUGCACCAAGCCGCACCACAUCGCUCCAAGUCGUACCACGUCACACCACGUCUAUUUCUAGCCAAUGCUUAGAAACAUGUCAAGCGCAAUGAUGUUGGUGAUCGUUGGCAGCGGCGGUGGAAAGUUGGGGUGGUUCGAGUGGUGGAGUCCUGCAACGGUCGGUCGGUCGGUCGACGCUUGGUGGUUGGCGACGAUUGCUUCAAAUCCUAAUCACUUGUUGUUGUAGGGCAACAUGUGAAGAGCAAUGAUGUUGGUGGUCGUUGGUAGCGGUGGUGGAAAGUCGCGGUUGUUCGAGCGGUAUCCACCGAGGACGGUUGGUCGACGCUUUGUGGUUGGCGGCGGUUUUUUCAAAUCGGAAUCCGUUUUUGUGGUUGCGACAAUGGAGGUGCCUCGUGCUUAUUGGCAGUUGGUCAUCUAUAUGCUUUUAUAGUAAUAUUAUGUAUUUUUCCUUUGUUUAAUAUAUAUUUCAAGUAAUAUUUAUGCUUUUUUUGUUAUUUUAACUUAUUUUUUUCACUUUUCAAUAAAAAUAUUUACUCUUUUAUAUCUAAUACUAUUACAAGAUGUAUUGGAAUUUUUAUCCAUCAUUUUUUCUAUUGUUAUAAUAAUUUUCAUAUUUUUUAGUAUUUUAUUAAGUAUUUUUUAUUUUUAAAUAAAAAUAUUUAAAAAAAAUAUUUUUUUUGUAAAAAUUGUCAUUUACAAUGUAUAAAAGUCAUUUGUGAAUAUAUUAGCCAAGUUGUAAUUUGGUUUGUGCUAUUUGGUGUUGUACAUGUCAAUUAUGAUUCUCUAGCCAAAACAUGUCUACUCCUGAAACUUGGUUUUUUUUUAAGCAUAUAUAAGGGGGUAGAGGUGUUGAGAGGCACCUCAGGUGCUUGCUGCCAGGAUGGGGCGGGCAUGCAUGAGGGACGUUGGCAUAGGUCGUGGGCAUUGGGGGCAUGCACGGCUUGUCCGUGCUACGUCCUCGAUGUUCCCAAACCGCGCCGGUAGGUACUCGUGUUGGCUUUUAGUACGCCUGGUGGUGGCACCGCUCGUGGCAAACAUUGGCUUUUGGCAACGAACGGUGGAGCAACAUGCAAGUAGCUCCCCAAGGUGCCGUGCGCAUGGGGCGAAACUCAGUACUUGUUGAUCACCAUUGGAUGUUGCGGGAAACAUCGGGAGGCGACAUCGCUCGUGGAGGCUGAUGGCUUUUGGCAACAGAAUGGCAAAACAUCGUUCAAGUAGAGCUGCAAGGUGCUGUACGCAUGGGGCAAAUCUUAGCAAGUUGUUGAUUGCCAUUGGUUGUUGUGGGUUGUGUCUGGAAUCUCUCGUGGCGACUGAUGGCUUUCGACAACGAACGGCAGAGCGUCGUUCAAGUAGCGCCGCAAGGUGCCUGUGCAUGGGGCGAAGCUCACUAGAUGUCGAUUGCCAUCGAUUAUUGCGGGCAACAUCGCUCAUGGCGGUUGAUGGCUUUCGGCAAUGGAACGGCGGAGCGUCGUGCGAGUAUCGUUGCAAGGUGACGUGCGCAUGGGGUGAAGCUUAGUAAGUUGCCUAUUGCCACCAAUUUUUGUGGGUUGUGUCUGUAAACCCCCCUCCAUGGCAGCUUAUGGCUUUUGACAACGAACGGCGGAGCAUCAUGCAAGUAGCGCCACAAGGGGCGAAGCUCAGUAGAUGUUCAUUGCCAUCGGUUGUUGCGGGAAACAACAGGAGGCGACAUCGCUCGUGGCGGCUGAUGGCUUUUGGCAAUAAAAUGGUAAAGCAUCAUGCACGCAAGGUGCCAUGCACACGAAGCAAAGCUUAGUAACUUGCUAAUUGCCAUCGGUUGUUGUGGGCAACAUUGCGAGGCGACAUCGCUCAUGGCGGCUGAUGGUUUUUGGCAACAAAAUGGCAAAGCAUCGUGCAAGUAGCGCCUCAAUGGGCUGUGCGCACAGGGCAAAGCUUAGUAAGUUUCCGAUUUCCAUCGGUUGUUGUUGGCAACAUCGGGAGGCGACAUCGCUUGUGGCGGCUGAUGGAUUUUGGCAACAAAUUACAAAGCAACGUGCAAGUAACACCACAAUGUGCAGCGCUCACGGGGCGAAGCUUAGUAAGUUGCAGAUUUCCAUCAGUUGUUGCGGGAAAAAUCGGAAGGUCACAUCGCUCGUGGUGGCUGAUGGAUUUUUGCAAUGGAAUGGAAACGCAUCGUGCGAGUAGCGCCGCAAGGUGCCAUGCGCAUGGGGCGAAGCUCAGUAAAUUGCCUAUUUCCAUCGGUUGUGUGGGUUGUGUCUGGCAUUGUUCAAACCCCCUAUUCGUGCUUUUCGGGGCUUCUCUUGGCUUUGCAUUGUUGGCAUCGGCAACAACACAUGGAUGCGCGUCACGUGUUGGAGCUAGUGUUGGCUUUGUAUCGGCAAGGCAAGUGUACGUGCGGCACAUGAGUUGUGUUCGGCUUGUGUGGCUAGGUUGGAUCCUUGCUGGAGCAGCGACGUUCUAGCUCGCAUACCAUCUCAGUCAUGUAACAAGCACAUUUUAGGCUUGUUCGACGUCGGUAUUAUGUGUUGCAUACCUGAUGCCAAGUCAUUAUCAAGCGCAAUUGGUCACCUUUGCCCCUUGCGUUCGACGUGCGGGGAGAACAAAAAGCUGCAUUUGUGUCCCAGGUCGCCCUGGCUUCGCCUUGCGAUGGCUUAGUCCAUGACUUAGCAUGCUCGGGCUCUCGAAUUUGGUAAACGCAAUGGGCACGGGGCCUUCAUUGGCUCCUAUCUGCCACAAGAAUGCUCCUUACGAAUGAUGGUCGUGCUCGCCUUGGACUUGGCCAUGCCAUUUUGCGUCGUCCACGCUCAUGCGACGCCGGCGUCAAUGAGAAAUGCUACCUGGUUGAUCCUCGAAUAGUCAUAUGCUUGUCUCAAAGAUUAAGCCAUGCAUGUGUAAGUAUGAACAAAUUCAGACUAUCGGCCGCGCUCAUGUGAUGCCGGCGUCAAUGAGGAAUGCUACCUGAUUGAUCCUUCUAGUAGUCAUAUGCUUGUCUCAAAGAUUAAGCCAUGCAUGUGUAAGUAUGAACAAAUUUAGACUGUGAAACUGCGAAUGGCUCAUUAAAUCAGUUAUAGUUUGUUUGAUGGUAUCUACUACUCAGAUAACCGUAGUAAUUCUAGAGCUAAUACGUGCAAAAAACCCCGACUUCUGGAAGGGAUGCAUUUACUAGAUAAAAGAUCGACGCGGGCUCUGCCUGUUGCUGUGAUGAUUCAUGAUAACUCGACGGAUCGCACGGCCAUCAUUCGAAAUUCUGCCGGCGACGCAUCAUUCGAAAUUCUGCCCUAUCAACUUUCUAUGGUAGGGUGGUGGCCUACUGUUAGGACCCUAACUUUUUUCAUCACGCGUGGCACGGCUGUGGCAAGGAUUUGGGCGUGAUAGCCUAGUCAUUGGCCUAUGUGCAAGCAAAACGUUCAUGCGGGUCGACGGGUUGUGGUGGAAAAGUACUGGCCAAGGCCUUAGCAUGGGCAAGGCGCGCUUGGAAAAGGCUUGAAGAGGCAACAUCGGCAAUGUUUGGGCGGCAUGGCACGGCAUGCGCACCAAACUAAGUGGCAUGACACUCUUGGAUUGUGGCAGCUCUGUGCGGGCUAAGCUAAGGCGAGGUGGAAAUGCAGGUUGACGCCAAAGGCUUUCAAUAGCUAAGACUAGGCCAUGAGAAAGAAAUACAAGCAUUGGCACAAGGGAAAUGAGGGUUGGCAUGGACAAGGCAGAAAACUAGGCCAAGGCAGUGUGCAUGCGGCAGUAGCGCCGGGUGUGUGCAGAAAUAUCAUAGCAGCGGAUUGCGGGAAAGACAUUUCCAUGGGCAAUGUAAAGUUGAGAUAUGGCGGAGCACAAGGCAGCCUUGGGGGCGAAAUUCAGCUGGCCAAGGAAAUGGCACAUGCAAUGCACAUGGAAAACAGUUGGCGCUUACCAUGUUUUUAUCCAUGAUUUCCCAUUAUCCCAUAAUCUGAUUGUUGCUUGUAUAAUGACCCCAUUUCGUGUAUAUUGUGUCCUAAGUAGUUGGGGAUGUCAACUACAUAGGCCAUGAUCUCCCACUAUUCCAUGAACUGAUUAUUUUUUGUAUAGUGGCCCAAUUUCGUGAAUAAUGUAUCCUAAGUAGUUGGGGAUGUCAACUACAUGUUAGGAUCAUGAUGGAAGUUUAGUCAGACAAGUGGCAAAAGCUGUUAGACGACAAGUGUCAUGAGCGAGCGGUUAAGUUUAAGGGCUUCCUAUAUUCUAUAAAUAGGUCCUUUAACAUAGGAAGAAGCACGAAACAAGUUCAGGGGAAUUACUCGUGGGAAACAAGAGAGGAACGUGAGGGUUUUCUAGUGUUUCCAAAAGGGGGCUAAGGUUGUGCAUGGGCAGAUCUUAGUGUUGGCCAAGAACGACUAGGUGUUCUUCGUCAAAAGUGGGCUGUGAGCGGAUGGAUAGUUCAUAGCAAUUAAGGGUCCUUCGUAUAUUUUCUAUAUUAAUGCAAAGGUUGAGAAUUUGUCCUGUAUAUGUUUUCGUUCCUUUAAAAUUCUGUUUUGUUGCCUAAAUUUCAUUGACUAGGUGUUCUUCAUCAAAAGUGGGAUGUGAGCGGAUGGAUAGUUCAUAGCAAGUGAGGGUCCUUUGUAUAUUUUCUAUAUUAAUGCAAAGGUUGGGAAUUUUCCCUGUAUAUGUUUGUGUUGUCUAAAUUUCUUUUUUGUUGCCUAAAUUUCGUCUAAGGUCAAACUUGCUGAAAAUUAGCAAGUGUUUCGGAAGGCUGAGUCAAGCAGGGGACUUGACUGCCGCGCGGGUGUGGUAUUGGACUAGGUCAAAAACUCCCCCGUGACACCUACUGUUAGGUCCCAAACUUUUGUCAUCGGUUUUGGCACGGCUGUGGCAAGGAUUUGAGCAUGAUGGCCUUGUCAUUGGCCUAUGUGCGAGAAAAACGAUCAUGCGAGUCGACGGGGUUUGGUGGACAAGUAGUGGCCAAGGCCUUGGCAUGGGAAAGGUGUGCUUGGAAAGGUUUGAAGAGGCAACAUCGGCAAUGUUUUGGCGGCAUGGCACGGCAUGCGCGCCAAAAUCAGUGGCAUGACAAUCUUUGGUUGUGGCAGCUAUGUGCGGGCUAAGCUAAGGCGAGGCGGAAAUGCGGGUUGACGGCAAAGGCUUUCAAUACUAAGACUAGGCUAUGGGAAAUAAAAUACAAGCAAUGGCAUGAAGGAAAUGAGGUUGGCACGGAUAAGGCAGAAAACUAGGCCAAGGCAGUGUGCAGGCGGCAGCGGCGCCGGGCGUAUGUGCAAAUAUCAUGGUAGCGGAUUGCGGGCAGGACAUUGGCAUAAGCAAUGUCAAGUUGAGCUAAGGCGGAGCACAGGUCAUCCUUGGGGGCGAAAUUCAGCUGGCCAAGGAUAUGGCACACACACUACACAUGGAAAGCGGUUGGCGGCGGUUACCUUGUUUGUAGGCCAUGAUCUCCCAUUAUCCCAUGUUAUCCCAUGAACUGAUUAUUGUUUGUAUUGUGGCCCCAUUUCGUGUAUAAUGAUUCUAAGUAGUUGGGGAUGUCAACUACAAGUUAGGAAGCAUGAUCUACGCUGUUAGACAACAAGUGUCAUGGGCGGUUUGUAUAGUGCCCCCAUUUCGUGAAUAGUGGAUCCUAAGUAGUUGGGGAUGUCAACUACAAGUUAGGAUCAUGAUUUAUGAUUAGUCCGACAAGUGGCAAAAGCUGUUAGACAUUAAGUGUCAUUGGUGGUUAAGUUUAAGGGCCUAUAAAUAGGACCUUUAACUUAGGCAGAAGUAGAGAGUAAGUUCAGUGGAAUUACUCGUGGGAAACAAGAGAAAAACGUGACGGUUUUCUAGUGUUUCCAAAAGGGGGCGAAGGUUGUGCAGGUUUGUGGCAGUGGCAAAAUAAUCAAUGGAUGGUUACGUUGAUAUUUUUGAGAACAUGGCUGGUGGCAAGAAUGCGGAGCUGCGUCAAAGAGUUGAGAAGUUUGAAGAACUAGUUGGGCAGGCUCUCGAAAGUGAUGGUGAUUCUUAUGUUCUUGCUAGAAUGGCACAUCAGGAGGCAGAUUAUGCACCGAGACAUGAGACAACGCUGGCAGAAAUGGCCUUAGUACGCCAAGAGAAUCAUGAAUUACACGACGAAGUGGCUGAUCUUCGAAGGGCAUUACAAAAUUCUGCCCCUAGAAAUGAUGAGCGCACUAAGUUGAGGAUCCCAGAGCCUAAGGCUUAUGGUGGUGCAGGAAGUGCCAAGGAACUAGAAAAUUUCAUGUGGGAUAUGGAGCAGUAUUUCCAGGCUGCACAUGUGCCGGAUGAUGAAAAGGUGGUGAUCACACCAAUGUACUUGAAGGACGAUGCAAAGGUGUAGUGGCGUACACGAAGUGCAGAUUGAGAAGGUGCUGGACUGCCCAGGGUCGGAACUUGGGAAUUGAUGAAUAAGGAAUUAAAAUCCCAAUUCCUUCCAACAAACUCGUCGUGGAUGGCACGAGAUGGACUGCGUCACUUGAAACAGAGUGGCAUAGUGAGGGAGUAUGUCAAGGAAUUUUCAUCCUUGAUGCUCAAUGUAGGUAAUAUGGCAGAGGAAAAGUGGCACGGUGAGGGAGUAUGUCAAGGAAUUUUCGUCCUUGAUGCUCAAUGUAAGUAAUAUGGUAGAAGAAGACAAGCUGCAUUACUUCAUGAGCGGGUUAAAGGGAUGGGUGCAAUUGGAGUUGAGAAGGCAAAAUGUGCAAAGCCACUCUAGUGCCAUUGCAACGGCAGAUGCGUUGGCGGACCUGAAUAUAGGUGAUGAACAUAUUGAAACUUUGCAUUCGAAGUUCGAAGGAAGGAAGGACAAAGCCAAGGAAUGGAAGAGAAACGGGAAGGGCCAAGCGUCUGAAAAUGACGAACUUGUCAAGAUUGUGAGAUAGGAAAAUCACAAUGGCAAGGAAAGGAACAGCGUGUACAAAGGUUUUUUCACUUGUGGUGGACCGCACUUGAAGAGGGACUAUCCGAUGCAGGCGAAGUUAAAUGCAUUGCUAGUUGCUGAGGGACAGGAACAAGUGGCGGAGGCAAAUGCCAUAGUUGCAGAUGCGAGGGGUGCACCCAGGGCAGUAUUUUUCAACAACCCCUUGGGGUUGUUUAAUUAGGACGGCUCGACGAAGUCGUCGAUUUCAAAAGGUGUGGGUGGUUUGUUAGGACCCUAACUUUUAUCGCCGGACGUGGCACGGCUGUGGCAAGGAUUUGGGCGUGAUGGCCUUGUCAUUGGCCUAUGUGCGAGCAAAACGAUCCUGCGGGUCGAUGGGCUGUGGUGGACAAGUAUUGGCCAAGGCCUUGGCAUGGGAAAGGUGCGCUUGGAAAAGGAUUGAAGAGGCAGCAUCGGCAAUGUUUGGGCGGCAUGGCACGGCAUGCGCGCCAAACUCAAUGGCAUGACACUCUUGGGUUGUGGCAGCUAUGUGCGGGAAAAGCUAAGGCGAGGCCGUAAUAUGGGUUGACGGCAAAGGCUUUCAAUAGCUAAGACUAGGCUAUGGGAAAGAAAAUACAAGCAAUGGCAUGAGCAAAAUGAGGUUGGCACGGACAAGGCAAAAAACUAGGCCAAGGCAAUGUGCGGGCGGCAGCAGCACCGGGCAUGUGUGGAAAUAUCAUGGCAACGGAUUGCGGGCAAGACAUUGGCAUGGGCAAUGUCAAGUUGAGCUACGGCGGAUCACAGGCAACCUUGGGGUCGAAAUUCAGCUUGCCAAAGAUAUGGCACACGCAAUACACAUGGAAAGCGGUUGGCGGCGGUUACCUUGUUUUUAGGCCAUGAUCUCCGAUGAACUCCCAUUAUCCCAUGAAUUGAUUAUUGUUUUUAUUGUGGCCCCAUUUCGUGCAUAGUGGAUCUUAAGUAGUUGGGGAUGUCAACUACAAGUUAAGAGCAUGAUUUAAGCUUAGUCCAACAAGUGACAAAAGCUGUUAGACAACAAGUGUGUUGGGCGGUUAAGUUUAAGGGCCUAUAAAUAGGACUUUUAACUUAGGCAGAAGUAGAGAGCAAGUUCAGAGGAAUUACUCGUGGGAAACAAGAGAGAAACGUGAGGGUAUUCUAGUGUUUCCAAAAGGGGGCUAAGGUUGUGCAUGGGCAGACCUUAGUGUUGGCCAAGAACGACUAGGUGUUCUUCGUCAAAAUUGGGCUGUGAGCAGACAGAUAGUUCAUAGCAAGUGAGAGUCCUUUGUAUAUUUUCUAUGUUAAAGCAAAGGUUGAGAAUUUGUCAUGUAUAUGUUUGUGUUCCUCUAAAUUUCUGUUUUGUUGCCUAAAUUUCGUCUAAGGUCAAACUUGCCAAAAUUGGCAAGUGUUUCGGAAGGCUGAGUCAAGCAAGGGACUUGAUUGCCGCGCGGGUGUGGUUUUGGACUAGGUCAAAAACGCCCCCGUGAAACCAACCAUGGUAGUGAUGGGUGACGGAGAAUUAGGGUACGAUUCCGGAGAGGGAUCCUAAGAAUCGGCUACCACAUCCAAGGAAGGCAGCAUGCGCGCAAAUUACACAAUCCUGACAUGCGGAGGUAGUGACAAUAAAUAACAAUACCGGGCUUUAUGAGUCUUGUGCCAGCAGCCGCGGUAAUUCCAGCUCCAUUAGCGUAUAUUUAAGUUGUUGCAGUUAAAAAGGUCGUAGUUGGACUUUGGGAUAGGCCGGCCGGUCCGUCUUAGGUGUGCACCGGACUUCUCGUCCCUUCUGCCGGUGAUGCGCUCCUGGCCUUAAUUGGCAGGGUUGAGCCUCUGGCGCUGUUUCUUUUAAGAAUAUAGACUUCUCAAAGUAAGCCUACGCUCUGUAUACAUUAGCAUGGGAUAACAUUUUAGGAUUUCGGUCCUAUUGCGUUGGCCUUCGAGAUCGAAGUAAUGUUUAACAGGGACAGUCGGGGGCAUUCGUAUUUCAUAGUCAGAGGUGAAAUUCUUAGAUUUAUGGAAGAAAACAACUGCAAAAGUAUUUGCCAAGGAUGUUUUCAUCAACCAAGAACGAAAGUUGGGGGCUCAAAGUAGAUCAGAUAUCAUCCUAGUCUCAACCAUAAACGAUGCCGACAAAGGAUCGGUGGAUAUUGCUUUUAUGACUCCGCCGGCACCUGGUCGCAAGGCUGAAACUUAAAGGAAUUUACGGAAGGGCACCACCAUGAGUGGAGCCUGCGGCUAAAUUUGACUUAACACGCGAAAACUUGCCAUGUCCAGACAAAGUAAGGAUUGACAGAUUGAGAGCUCUUUCUUGAUUCUAUGGGUGGUGGUGCAUGGCCGUUCUUAGUUGGUGGAGCAAUUUGUCUGGUUAAUUCCAUUAACGAUUGAGACCUCAGCCUGUUAACUAGCUAUGCAGAGGUAUCCCUUCGCGGCCAGCUUUUUGAGGGACUACGGCCUUUUAGUAUACCAUUAACGAAAAAUUCCUCAGCCUGCUAACUAGCUAUGUGGAGGUAUCCCUUCGCGGCCAGCUUCUUAGAGGGACAACGACCUUUUUGGCCACAGAAGUUUGAGGCAAUAACAGGUCUGUGAUGCCCUUAGAUAUUCUGGGCUACACACGCGCUACGCUGAUGUAUUCAACGAGUUUAUAGCCUUGGCCAGCAGGCCCGAGUAAUCUUUGAAAUUUCAUCGUGAUGGGGAUAGAUCAUUGCAAUUGUUUGUCUUGAACGAGGAAUUCUUAGUAAGCGCGAGUCAUCAGAUCACGUUAACUACGUCCCUGCCCUUUGUACGCAUCGCCCGUCGCUGCUACCGAUUGAAUGAUCCGGUAUAAUGUUCCGACCGCGGCGAUGUGGGCGGUCCGCUCCCUGCGACGUUGUGAGAAGUCCAUUGAAGCUUAUCAUUUAGAUUAAGGACAAUUCGUAACAAGGUUUCCGUAGGUGAACCUGUGGAAGGAUCAUUGUAGAAACCUGCCAGGCAAAACGACCCGCGAACUUAUUUAAUAACUGGGGAGCGGUGCGGCUGGGAUGCUUUGGCCUCCGUCUGUGCUGGUUCCUCCUAUAUCCCCGAUGCGCGCGCUUGCGUGUGUGCCGGGUGAUUAACGAACCCUAGCGCGGAAAGUGCAAAUGAAUAUCAAAUUAAAAAGCCUGCCCCUCGCGCCCCGUUCGCGGCGUGCACGGGGGACUUGUGCUUCUUUUGAAACACAAAUGACUCUCGGCAAUAGAUAUCUCGGCUCUCGCAUCAAUGAAAAACGUAGCGAAAUGCAAUACUUGGUGUGAAUUGAAGAAUCCUAUGACCGUUGAGUCUUUGCACUCAAAAUGCCCCUGAAGCCAUUAGGCCAAGGGCACGUCUGCCAAGGCGUCACACAUCGCGUCGCCCCAGCACACCGCGCCCAUUAUCAUGGUCGCGGUGUUGUCGUGGGACAGAUAUUGUCCUCUCGUGCGCCUCGAGCGUGCAGUUGGCCAAAAUGCGAGUCCAUAGCGACGGAUGUCACGAGAAGUGGUGGUUCAAACUCAAAUCUCGUAAUGUCGCAGCUCAAACCCGUCGCAUGUUUGGGUUCCCGACCCUUAUCGAGCUUAGGCGCUCCGACCGCGACCCCAGGUCAGGCGGGACUACCCGCUGAGUUUAUGCAUAUUAAUAUGCGGAGGAAAAUAAACUUACAAGGAUUCCCCUAGUAACCGCGAGCAAACCGGGAACAGUCCAGCUUUAGAAUCGGGCGUCUCCGUCGUCCGAAUUGUAGUCUGGAGAAGCGUCCCUAGCGGCGGACCGGAUCCAACUCCCCUAGAAGGGGGCGCUAGAGAGGCUGAGAAACCCAUUGUGCCCGGACCCUAUCGCACCAUGAGGUGUUGUCUAGUGUCGGGUUGUUUGGGAAUGCAGCCCAAAUCGGGCGGUGAAUUUUGUCCAAGGCUAAAUACGGGCGAGAGGCUGAUAGCGAACAAGUACCAUGAGGGAAAGAUGAAAAGGAAUUUGAAAAUAGAGUCAAAGAGUGCUUGAAAUUGUCGAGAGGGAAGCGGAUGGAGGACGGCGAUGCACCCCGGUCGGAUGUGGAUCGGUGUUGAGCCAGUCCGCCGAUCGAUUCGGGGCGUGGACCUGCAUGGAUUGGGGGGGCGGCCAAAGCCCGGGCUUUUAAUAUGCUCGUGGAACGUUGUCUCCUUGAUUGCGGUAGGCAGCGCGCACCUCUGGCAAGCUUCGACAUCUGCGCGCUCUGGACCCUGGCAUGUGGGCUCCCCAUUCGACCCGUAUUGAAACACGGACCAAGGAGUCUGACAUUUGGGCGAGUCAACGGGCCAGUAACCCCGUAAGGCGUAAGAAAGCUGAUUGGUGGGAUCCCCCUGAAGGGGUACACCGCAGACCAACCUUGAUCUUCUGUGAAGGCUUCGAGUGUGAGCAUACUUGUCGAGACACGAAACAUGGUGAACUAUGCCCGAGCGAGGCGAAGCCAGCGGAAACUCUGGUGGAGGCCUGCAACGAUACUGACGUGCUAAUCAUUCAUCUAACUUGGGCAUAGGGGCGAAAGACUAAUCGAACUGCCUAGUAGCUGGUUCCCUCCGAAGUUUCCCUCAGGAUUACUGGAGCUUGCAUGCAAUUUCCAUCACGUAUAGCCAAUGAUUAGAGGCAUCAGGGUUGCAACGCCCUCGACCUAUUCUCAAACUAUAAAUAGGUAGGACGGCGCGACUUGUUUGUUGAGUCGCGCCGAGGAAUUAAGAGGACCAAGUGGGCCAUUUUUGGUAAGAAGAACAUGCGAUGCACGAUGAACUGGAAGCCAGGUUACGGUGCCAAACUACACUCUAACCAAUAUCCCACAAAGGGUGUUGGUCGAUUAAGAUAGCGGAACGGUGGUCAUGGAAGUCGAAAUCCGGUAAGAAUGUGUAACAACUCACCUACCGAAUCAAGUAGCCCCGAAAAUUGAUGGCGCUUAAGCGCGCGACCUAAACCCGGACUGUGAGGCAAGUGACGCGCCCUGAUGAGUAGGAGGGAGCGGUGGUCGCUGCAAAACCUUCAGCGUGAGUCUCGACGGAGUGGCCGUCGGUGCAGAUCGCAGGAAAUGGCAUGGCGUGGCCAUGGAAUGACUCAUGACGUCGCAGGACAUGGCAGGGCGUGGCCAUGGUACGAGUCAGGAUGUCGCAGGACGCAUUAGGACAUGGCCAUGGUACGUGUCAGGACGCGUCAAGACAUGGCCAUGGCACGUGUUAGGACCCGUCAGGACAUGGCAGGGCGUGGCCAUCGCACGAGUCGGGACGUCACAAUACAUGGCAUGGCGUGGCCAUGUCACGAGUCAGGACGUCGCAGGACGCGUUAGGACAUGGCAUGGUACGUGUCAUGACGCGUCAGGACAUGGCAGGGCGUGGCCAUGGCACGAGUUGGGACGUCACAAGACAUGGCAGGGCGUGGCCAUGGCACGAGUCAGGACGUCGUAGGACGCGUCAGGACAUGGCCAUGGCACGUAUCAGGAUGCNNNNNNNNNNNNNNNNNNNNNNNNNNNNNNNNNNNNNNNNNNNNNNNNNNNNNNNNNNNNNNNNNNNNNNNNNNNNNNNNNNNNNNNNNNNNNNNNNNNNNNNNNNNNNNNNNNNNNNNNNNNUCAGGACAUGCCCAUGGCACGUGUAUGGACAUGGCAAGGCGUGUCCAUGGCUCGAGACAGGAUGUCGCAAGACAUACGUGUCAGGACGUGUCAGGACAUGGCCAUGGCACGACGUCACACCAAGCCGCACAACGUCGCUCCAAGCUGCACCACCACGUCUAUUUCUAGCCAAUGCUUAGAAUCAUGUCAAGCACAAUGAUGUUGGUGAUUGUUGGCGGCGGCGAUGGAAAGUCGGGGUGGUUCGAGCGGUAGCGUCUGACGACGGUCGCUCGAUGCUUGGUGGUUGACGGCGGUUUCUUCAAAUCCUAAUCACUUGUAGUGGUUGGCAACAUGUCAUGCUCAAUGAUGUUGGUGGUCGUUUGUGGCGGUGGUGGAAAGUCGCGGUGGUUCGAGCGGUAUCCACUGGCGACGGUUGGUCGACGCUUUGUGGUUGGCGACGGUUUUUUCAAAUCGGAAUCCCUUGUUGUGGUUGAGACAAUGGAGGUGCUGCGUGCUUAUUAGAGGUUGGUCAUCUAUACGCCUUUAUAAUAAUAUUAUGCAUUUUUCCUUUUUUUUAUAUAUUUUUUAGUAAUUUUUAUUCAUUUUUUGUUAUUUUAAAUUAUUUUUAUGUCACUUUUCAAUAAAAAUAUUUACUCUUUUAUAUGUAGUACUAUUAAAAGAUGUAUUGGAAUUUUUCUCCAUCAUUUUUUCUAUUUUUAUUAUAAUUUUCAUAUUUUUAGUAUUUUAUUAAGUAUUUUUCGUUUUUAAAUAAAGAUAUUUCAAAAAAUAUAUUUUUUUUUGUAAAAAAUAUCAUUUACAAUGUAUAAAAGUCAUUUGUGAAUAUAUUAGCCAAGUUGUACUUUGGUUUGUGUUAUUUGGUGUUGUACAUGUCUAUUAUGAUUCUGUAGCCAAAACAUGUCUACUCCUGAAACUUGGGUUUUUUUUUUAAGUAUAUAUAAGGGGGGUAGAGGUGUUGAGAGGCACCUCAAGUGUUUUGCUAUUUGGUGUUUUACAUGUGUAUUAUGAUUCUUUGGCAAAAACAUGUGUACUCGUGAAACUUGGGUUUUUUUUUAAGCAUAUAUAAGGGGGUAGAGGUGUUGAGAGGCACCUCAUGUGCUUGUUGCCAGGAAGGGGCGGUCAUGCAUGGGAGAUGCUUGCAUGGGCCGUGGGCAUUGGGGGCAUGCACGGCUUGUCCAUGCUACGUCCUCAAUGUUCCCAAACCGCGCCGACAAGUACUCGUGUGGGCUUUUAGUGCACCUUUUGUGGCACCGCUCGUGGCAAUCAUUGGCUUUUGGCAACAAACUCUAGAGCGUCAUGCAAGUAGCUCCGCAAGGUGCCAUGCGCAUGAGGUGAAGCUCAGUACUUGUUCAUCGCCAAUGGAUGUUGCGGGCAAAAUCGGGAGGCGACAUCGCUCGUGGCGGAUGAUGGCUUUUGACAGCAGAACAACAAAGCGUCGUGCAAGUAGCGCCGCAAGGUGCUGUGCGCAUGGGGCGAAGCUUAGUAAGUUGUUGAUUGUUGGUUGUUCAGGGUUGUGUAUGGAAUCUCUUGUGGUGGCUGAUGGCUUUCGACAACGAGCGGCGAAGCAUCGUGCAAGUAGCACCGCGAGGUGUCGUGCGCAUGGGGCGAAGCUCAUUAGAUGUUAAUUUCCAUCGGUUGUUGCGGGCAACAUCGCUCAUGGAGAUUGAUGGCUUUCAGCAAUGGAAUGGCAGAGCGUCGUGCAAGUAACGCAGCAAGGUGCCGUGCGCAUUAGGCGAAGCUUAGUAAGUUGCCUAUUGCUCAAGUAGCCCCGAAGUUGUGUCUGUAAACCCCCCCUCCUACCCCUCCCCCCNNNNNNNNNNNNNNNNNNNNNNNNNNNNNNNNNNNNNNNNNNNNNNNNNNNNNNNNNNNNNNNNNNNNNNNNNNNNNNNNNNNNNNNNNNNNNNNNNNNNNNNNNNNNNNNNNNNNNNNNNNNNNNNNNNNNNNNNNNNNNNNNNNNNNNNNNNNNNNNNNNNNNNNNNNNNNNNNNNNNNNNNNNNNNNNNNNNNNNNNNNNGAAACAUCGCGAGGCGACAUCGCUCGUGGCGGCUGAUGGCUUUUGGAAACAAAAUGGUAAAGCAUCAUGCAAGUAGCUCUUCAAGGUGCCAUGCGCACGAGGCAAAGCUUAGUAAGUUUUUGAUUGCCAUCGGUUGUUGCUGGAAACAUCGAGAGGCGACAUCGCUCGUGGCGGCUGAUGGCUUUUGGAAACAAAUGGCAAAGCAUCGUGCAAGUAGUUCCGCAAGGUGCCAUGCUCACGGGGCGAAGCUUAGUAAGUUGCUGAUGCCAACACUUGUUGCGGGAAACAUCGGAAGGCGACAUCGCUCGUGGCGGCUGAUGGCUUUUCACAAUGGAACGGAAAAACAUCGUGCAAGUAGCGGCGCAAGGGGCCAUACGCAUGGGGCGAAGCUCAAUAAAUUGCCUAUUGCCAUCGGUUGUUGUGGGUUGUGUCUGGAAUUGUUCAAACGCCUUAUUUGUGCUUUGCGGGGCUUGUCUUGGCUUUGCAAUGUUGGCAUAGGGAACAACACAUACUUGUGCGUCACGUGUUGGAGAUGGUGUUGGCUUUGUAUCGGCAAGGCAAGUGUACGUGCGGCACAUGAGUGGUGUUCGGCUAGUGUAGCUAGGUUGGAUCAUUGCUCGAGCAGCGACGUCCUAGCUUGCAUCCCAUCUCAGUCAUGUCACAAGCCCAAAUUAGGCUUGUUCGACAUCAGUUUUCUGUGUUGCAUACCUAAUGCCAAAGAGUAAUCAAGCACGAUUGGUCGCCUUUUGCCCCUCGCGUUCGACGUGGGGGGAGAGCCAAAAGCUGCAGUUGUGUCCCAGGUCGUCCUGGCUUCACCUUGCAAGGGUUUGGUCCACGACUUAGCAUGCUUGGGCUCUCGGAUUUGGUUAACGCAAUGGGCACGGGGCCUUCAUUGGCUCCUAUCUUCCCAAAGAAUGCUCCUUACGAAUGAUGGUUGUGCUCGCCUUGGACUUGGCCGUUCCCUUUUGGGUCGGCCAAGCUCAUGCAACGCCGUCGUCAAUGAGGAAUACUAGCUGGUUGAUCCUGCUAGUACACAUUUGCUUGUCUCAAAGAUUAAGCCAUGCAUGUGUAAGUAUGAACAAAUUAAGACUGUGAAACGACGAAUGGCUCAUUAAAUCAGUUAUAGUUUAUUUGAUGGUAUCUACCACUCGGAUAACCGUAGUAAUCCUAGAGCUAAUACGUGCAACAAACCCCGACUUCUGGAAGGGAUGCCUUUAUUAGAUAAAAGGGGGACGCGGGCUCUGCCUGUUGCUGCGAUGAUGCAUGAUAACUCGACGGAUCGCACGACCAUCGUGUCGGCGACGCAUCAUUCAAAUUUCUGCCCUAUCAACUUUCAAUGGUAGGAUAGUGGCCUACUGUUACACCCCUAAUAUUGACUUGACGGAUGUCAAGAAGAAUUCAUGUCAAGGGCUUGUGCAUUGACCCUUGACAUGGAUUCGUUAAAGUGUUGGCAAGCAAUGUACAAGGCUGGGCUUUUGGCUAAGUUUGUGAUGGACUUAGGCAAGGUAGCUACGCAAGGCAACAGGAGUGUUGGCAAGGCGGCCUUGGUUCGUGGGCAUCGGUAAAUGGCAAAUGGAAGCAUGGCACUUUACAAAUGCAUGUGCGGAUCCGUGAGACGACUUAAUUCAUAGCAGGGCGUGGCUAUAAAAUUAAGGGCGAGGCAAGCUCCAAGGCAAAGCUGGGCUGGAGAUAAAGCAAACAUGGGCAAGGCUAGAGGCCAUCGUGCAUGGCAUGUGACCAAGUGGUGUGCAAGAAAUGUGCUUGGAAGUUGAAGACAUGAUCUAAGAACAUGAGCAUGUGGCUAUAAAGUGGAAGACGUGGUAGAAACUGUCCGUAACUGUCUAAGGCAUGUACAUGGCACAUGGUAGAAACUGCCCCUUUGUAACUGCCAUUGGCAGCCCCUUUAUAUAUAUUGUAUCUUCGUUUGGGGAGAACACAAGUAGCAUUACAUAUGUGAGCCAAGUCUAAAAUGAGAGUCCUUUGAUUAUUCUGCGAUGAUUAAUAAAGGUCAAGUAGCACUACAUAUGUAUGCGAAGUCUAAAGCUAGAGUCGUUCGUAUAUUCUACGAGAAUUAAUAAAGGUUGGGUUUUACCAGUAAACUCUCGGUGUGUUCUUAGUUUGGCUAAAGUCUGAAAAUUCGAAGUUAGGCUGUGUGUGUGGGAAAAAGUGAAGGCUGAGUGGCUGUGACUGCUGCUACCGUGCAGUGUCGAUUUUUGCAAAAAAUUGGCCCUAUAUCAAUUGGUAUCAGAGCUUUGGUUAUAACUCUUGAUCAUGGCGGGUGGGUCUACUUCAGACUUACGUGAUAGAGUGCAACGGUUGGAGGCACUAAUCGGCGUGACCGAUGAUCCUUUGGAUAUGGCAGAUCUUAUUACAGAGAUUUACCGUCUAAAGGAUGGGGCAGAUCAGUUUCGCGAUGGAGUCCAACAAAGUUGUGAAUCAACGGUAUCAGCAUGACUGAUGAUCCUUUAGAUUUGGCAGAUCUGAUUAUAGAGAUUUACCGUCUAAAGGAUGGGGUGGAUCAGUUUCGCGAUGGGAUCCAACUGAGUUGUGAGUCAAUGGAUGACGUAGUUGAAGACCUAAAAAGGAGGUCGAAAACUUGAAGGCCGAAAUCACUGUUCUUCGAAGGGCGUUGGCUGGUCCAAGCCAAGGAACUGAAGAAUUCUCGAAGGUAAAGAUUCUUGAUCCAAAGGCGUUUGGUGGAACAGUUAGUACAAAAGAAUUGGAAAAUUUUCUGUGGGACAUGGAACAAUAUUUUGUGGCUGCCAAAGUUCCAAAUGCGGAGAAGGUCACAAUUACUAGCAUGUACCUAACAGGAGAUGCUAAAUUAUGGUGGAGAACUCGUAUGGUGGACGAUGAAAGUGCGGGAAGACCGAAAAUUGAUACAUGGGAGAAACUCAUAAAAGAAAUGAAGGACCAAUUCUUGCCUUGCAAUGCAUCUUGGCUUGCUAGAGACCAUUUGAAACGCUUGCAACAAACAGGAUCUAUUCGGGAUUAUAUUAAGGAAUUCUCUUCCUUAAUGUUUGAUAUUCAAAACAUGUUGGAGGAUGACAAAUUGCAUAAUUUUAUUUCUGGAAUGCAAGCAUGGGCACAGAAUAUACUUAGGAGACAAAUCGUGAAGGAUAUCCCAAGCGCAAUGGCUGCAGCUGAUUCCUUGGUGGAUUAUCGCAGCACCCGUACUCGUUCAGAUAUUCCUUCUACUUCAAAACCUAACAAACGGGUGGAGAAGAAAGGGGAAUGGAGGAAGGAAGUUCGAGAGGAAGUCGUUGAGAAGGGAAAGGUUGUCGACGGGGAUGUUCAAAACAAAGGCGUCGCGAUAAGGGUCGGGGAGCCCAAACAUGCAGUGAAGAAGUCGUUUGAGAAGGGUAAGGUUGUUGAUGGUGCUGUUCAAAACAAAGGCGUCGCAAAUAGGAAAAUUGAUGGUCGCUGGAAGUGUGAAGGACCUCAUCUUGCCAGAGACUGUCCAAAUCGGGGGCGGGUAAAUGCUUUGCUUGCUACACAAAAUAAUCAGAAUAGAGAAGGCGAAGAAGUUGUUGCUGCCUUAGUAAAUCCUUUGCAAUUAUUGAAUGUUAUCUCAUUGCUGAAUGCUACAAGUAACGAGACGAACCCUCAUUCUUUGCUGAUACACAUCGAAAUGAGAAUUGGGGACAAAAGUGUGAUAACUAUGGUAGAUACUGGUGCUAGUCACACCUUUGUUUGUGCCAGUUUGGUGCAAAAGUAUCGAUUGAGAGUGUCGAAAUGUCCCUCUUACAUAAACACUAUGAAUACCAAAGCACGAGCCAUUGUGGGCAUGGCUUAUGAUGUUCCUAUGUCUGUUGGGAACUUGAAAGGGAAGGUCAAUUUGAUGGU
rnacentral:lncRNA from 1 species